rnacentral:rRNA from 1 species
GAUGAACGCUGGCGGCGUGCCUAAUACAUGCAAGUCGAGCGAACAGACGAGGAGCUUGCUCCUCUGACGUUAGCGGCGGACGGGUGAGUAACACGUGGAUAACCUACCUAUAAGACUGGGAUAACUUCGGGAAACCGGAGCUAAUACCGGAUAAUAUAUUGAACCGCAUGGUUCAAUAGUGAAAGACGGUUUUGCUGUCACUUAUAGAUGGAUCCGCGCCGCAUUAGCUAGUUGGUAAGGUAACGGCUUACCAAGGCAACGAUGCGUAGCCGACCUGAGAGGGUGAUAGGCCACACUGGAACUGAGACACGGUCCAGACUCCUAAGGGAGGCAGCAGUAGGGAAUCUUCCGCAAUGGGCGAAAGCCUGACGGAGCAACGCCGCGUGAGUGAUGAAGGUCUUCGGAUCGUAAAACUCUGUUAUUAGGGAAGAACAAAUGUGUAAGUAACUAUGCACGUCUUGACGGUACCUAAUCAGAAAGCCACGGCUAACUACGUG